rnacentral:rRNA from 1 species
AGGACGAACGCUGGCGGCGUGGAUUAGGCAUGCAAGUUGAGCGACAAACCUUCGGGUUAUGGAGCAGCGAACGGGUAAGUAACACGUGAAUAACCUGUCCCUACAUUCCGGAUAAUUGGCCGAAAGGCCUUGUAAUACGGGCGAGGAUCGCCGGGAGGCAUCUCCUGGCGCGGGAACGAGCAAUCGGUGCAGGGAGGGAUUCGCGGCCUAUCAGUUAGUUGGUGGGGUAACGGCCUACCAAGACUACGACGGGUAGCUGGUCUGAGAGGAUGGUCAGCCACAUUGGAACUGAGAUACUGUCCAGACUCCUACGGGAGGCUGCAGUCGAGAAUCUUGGGCAAUGCACGAAAGUGUGACCCAGCGACGCCGCGUGAAGGAUGAAGGAGCUCUGCUUCGUAAACUUCUUUUAUGGGGAAAGAAAGCUCGCAAGAGCCUUGACGGUACCCAUGAAUAAGCCACGGCUAACUACGCGCCAGCAGCCGCGGU